UACGAAGGGGGCUAGCGUUGUUCGGAAUUACUGGGCGUAAAGCGCGCGCAGGCGGUCUUCCAAGUCAGUGGUGAAAGCCUGGAGCUCAACUCCAGAACUGCCAUUGAAACUGUUAGACUUGAGUACGAGAGAGGUGAGUGGAAUUCCCAGUGUAGAGGUGAAAUUCGUAGAUAUUGGGAAGAACACCAGUGGCGAAGGCGGCUCACUGGCCCGAUACUGACGCUGAGGUGCGAAAGCGUGGGGAGCAAACAGG
rnacentral:rRNA from 1 species